CCUACGGGUGGCAGCAGUAGGGAAUCUUCCACAAUGGGCGAAAGCCUGAUGGAGCAACGCCGCGUGGGUGAAGAAGGUCUUCGGAUCGUAAAACCCUGUUGGUAGAGAAGAAAGUGCGUGAGAGUAACUGUUCACGUGUCGACGGUAUCUAACCAGAAAGCCACGGCGAACUACGUGCCAGCAGCCGCGGUAAUACGUAGGUGGCAAGCGUUAGCCGGCUUUAUGGGGCGUACAGGGAACGCAGGCGGUCUUUUCAGUCUGAUGUGAAAGCCUUCGGCUUAACCGGAGUAGUGCAUUGGAAACUGGGAGACUUGAGUGCAGCAGAGGAGAGUGGAACUCCAUGUGUAGCGGU
rnacentral:rRNA from 1 species